rnacentral:rRNA from 1 species
CACGCCGCGUGGGUGAUGAAGGCCUUCGGGUUGUAAAGCCCUGUCGGGAGGGGACGGAAUUCAUGACGGUACCUCCAAAGAAAGCACCGGCUAACUCCGUGCCAGCAGCCGCGGUAAUACGGAGGGUGCGAGCGUUGCUCGGAAUUACUGGGCGUAAAGCGUACGCAGGCUGCCUUGUAAGUCGGGUGUGAAAGCCCGGGGCUCAACCCCGGAAAUGCGCCCGAGACUGCAGGGCUUGAAUGCGGGAGAGGAUAGCGGAAUUCCUGGUGUAGAGGUGAAAUUCGUAGAUAUCAGGAGGAACACCUGUGGCGAAAGCGGCUAUCUGGCCCGACAUUGACGCUCAUGUACGAAAAGCGCGGGGAGCAAAACAGGAUUAGAUACCCUGGUAGUCCGCGCCGUAAACGAUGAGUGCUAGCUGCUGGGAAUGUUACCGUUUCAGUGGCGAAGCUAACGCAUUAAGCACUCCGCCUGGGAGUACGG